rnacentral:rRNA from 1 species
CCUACGGGUGGCAGCAGUCGAGAAUCAUUCACAAUGGGGGAAACCCUGAUGGUGCGACGCCGCGUGGGGGAAUGAAGGUCUUCGGAUUGUAAACCCCUGUCAUGUGGGAGCAAAUUAAAAAGAUAGUACCACAAGAGGAAGAGACGGCUAACUCUGUGCCAGCAGCCGCGGUAAUACAGAGGUCUCAAGCGUUGUUCGGAAUCACUGGGCGUAAAGCGUGCGUAGGCUGUUUCGUAAGUCGUGUGUGAAAGGCGCGGGCUCAACCCGCGGACGGCACAUGAUACUGCGAGACUAGAGUAAUGGGGGGGGAACCGGAAUUCACGGUGUAGCAGUGAAAUGCGUAGAUAUCGAGAGGAACACUCGUGGCGAAGGCGGGUUACUGGACAUUAACUGACGCUGAGGCACGAAGGCCAGGGGAGCGAAAGGGAUUAGAUACCCUGGUAGUA